ACGGUAGCACAGAGGAGCUUGCUCCUUGGGUGACGAGUGGCGGACGGGUGAGUAAUGUCUGGGAAACUGCCCGAUGGAGGGGGAUAACUACUGGAAACGGUAGCCAAUACCGCAUAACGUCGCAAGACCAAAGAGGGGGACCUUCGGGCCUCUUGCCAUCGGAUGUGCCCAGAUGGGAUUAGCUAGUAGGUGGGGUAACGGCUCACCUAGGCGACGAUCCCUAGCUGGUCUGAGAGGAUGACCAGCCACACUGGAACUGAGACACGGUCCAGACUCCUACGGGAGGCAGCAGUGGGGAAUAUUGCACAAUGGGCGCAAGCCUGAUGCAGCCAUGCCGCGUGUAUGAAGAAGGCCUUCGGGUUGUAAAGUACUUUCAGCGAGGAGGAAGGUGUUGUGGUUAAUAACCGCAGCAAUUGACGUUACUCGCAGAAGAAGCACCGGCUAACUCCGUGCCAGCAGCCGCGGUAAUACGGAGGGUGCAAGCGUUAAUCGGAAUUACUGGGCGUAAAGCGCACGCAGGCGGUCUGUCAAGUCGGAUGUGAAAUCCCCGGGCUCAACCUGGGAACUGCAUCCGAAACUGGCAGGCUAGAGUCUUGUAGAGGGGGGUAGAAUUCCAGGUGUAGCGGUGAAAUGCGUAGAGAUCUGGAGGAAUACCGGUGGCGAUGCGGCCCCCUGGACAAAGACUGACGCUCACGUGCGAAAGCGUGGGGAGCAAACAGGAUUAGAUACCCUG
rnacentral:rRNA from 1 species